rnacentral:misc_RNA from 1 species
GAUGAAGAACGCAGCGAAAUGCGAUAAGUAGUGUGAAUUGCAGAAUUCAGUGAAUCAUCGAAUCUUUGAACGCACAUUGCGCCCCUUGGUAUUCCAUGGGGCAUGCCUGUUCGAGCGUCAUUUGUACCUUCAAGCUCUGCUUGGUGUUGGGUGUUUGUCUCGCCUCUGCGUGUAGACUCGCCUCAAAACAAUUGGCAGCCGGCGUAUUGAUUUCGGAGCGCAGUACAUCUCGCGCUUUGCACUCAUAACGACGACGUCCAAAAGUACAUUUUUACACUCUUGACCUCGGAUCAGGUAGGGAUACCCGCUGAACUUAAGCAUAUCAAUAAGCAGAGGA